AUGAAGAUAAUACACAACACUUGUGAUAUGAAAAGUCAUAUUAAAAUGAAGAUAAUACACGACACUUGUAAUAUGAAAAAAGAUAAUAAUAAUAUGGUUGACAAUUUAUUGCAUACACUCGUGAAACACACACGCACUAUAUAUAUCACAACUUUGUAUACGUAUACAUACAACCCUUAA